rnacentral:rRNA from 1 species
AGCAGCCGCGGUAAUUCCAGCUCCAAUAGCGUAUAUUAAAGUUGUUGCAGUUAAAAAGCUCGUAGUUGAAUUUCGGGAUCAGUACGCUGGUCGUGCCUUUGGUAUGUACUGGUGUCACUGAUUCCUCCCUUCUGAAGAACCGUUAUGCCAUUUAUUUGGUGUGGCGGGGAAUCAGGACUGUUACUUUAGAAAAAAUUAGAGUGUUUAAAGCAGGCUCGCGCUUGAAUACAUUAGCAUGGAAUAAUGAAAUAGGACGUUCGAUCCUAUUUUGUUGGUUUCUAGGAUUGACGUAAUGAUUAAUAGGGAUAGUUGGGGGCAUUAGUAUUCAAUUGUCAGAGGUGAAAUUCUUGGAUUUAUUGAAGACUAACUACUGCGAAAGCAUUUGCCAAGGAUGUUUUCAUUAAUCAAGAACGAAAGUUAGGGGAUCGAAGACGAUCAGAUACCGUCGUAGUCUUAACCAUAAACUAUAGCCGACUAGGGAUCGGAUGAUGUAAUUUUUAAUGACUCAUUC